rnacentral:rRNA from 1 species
GACGAACGCUGGCGGCGUGCUUAAUACAUGCAAGUCGAACGGACAGGCCCUGCUUGCAGUGUUCUCGAGUGGCGAACGGGUGAGUAACACGUGGGUGAUCUGCCCUGCUCUUCGGCUUAAGUUUCUUCAACUGGGUCUAAUACCGGCUAGGUGCUAUCUUUAGUGUCGUGGUUCGAAAGUUUUUUCGGUUUAGGCUGAGCUGGCUGCCUAUCGGCUUGUUGGUGUAGUAAUGGACUACCAAGGCGGCGACGGGUAGCCGGCCUGAGUGGGUGUACGGCCACAUUGGGGCGGAGAGGAGGCCCAAAUACCGAAGGGAGGGAGAAGGGGGGAAGAUUGCACAAGGGGAGCAAGCCGGAUGAAGAGAGGCCGCGGGGGGGAUGAAGGCCUUCGGGGUGUAAACUACAUGAGCUAGGGACGAAGCUUUUUGUGACGGUACCUAGAUAAGAAGCACCGGCUAACUACGUG